AAAAACACAGAUAUGGUGGUUGACACAGUCCUAAAAAAUGGAGUCAUGGAGGUAAGUACAUACUGCUCUUUGGAGAAACAUGGUUGUAAGGUGAACGAAAAACUAAGGUGUACACUAGAAGGAAACAGAGCGACAAAAUAGGAGAUGCUGAAAGAAAAAGAGAAGUUGAAAUACAGAAGAGAAGAGACGCAAUGUAAGCUUCCCAAAGAAAUGAGAAGAUGUGAUUCAAAGAACAGAUGGUAGGUUUAACAUUUGAAAUGUAGGACAACAAUUUAGCUAAAAUAGAAAGGGAAGAGGUAAGGCUGGCUCUGACUAUAUUUACACUUGUUUGUGUUUUGGGGAGAGAAAGGAAGUGGAGAACGUUCUUGCAAGAUGAUCUGUAUUUUCUCUCUAAAGCAGAGUUCAUUUGCUGAGAAUGAUGGAGAAAAUCAGCAUCUAGCUAAUCAGCUGACCAUGAGAUGCAGAGAUUAUCUGGAAUUAUCCAGAUUGGUCCAUUUAAUUACAUGAGUCCUUAAAAGUGGAAAGUGGAAGAAGAGGCAGAAGAGUGUGUCAGAGAGAUGCUGUGUGAAAAGGACUCAACCUGCCACUUGAGGCUUUGAGGCUGGAGAAAGGGGCCAUGAACCAAGGAUUGUGAGCAGCCUGUAAAAUCUGGAAAAGACAAGGCAAUACCCUUUGCUGUCUCAGGGUCAAACAUGCAACUCCUGCCUGCUUGUAUGGCCAGCUGGGUUCAAGAAGGAAGGAACCUCAUUGUUGACAGUUACCAGAUGAAUGUGCCCCUUCUGUACAGCUAAGAAAUGGAAUAGACAUUGGUAACCUUCCACAGGCCCACACAUGUGUUAUCAGCCAUACCUUAGGACAGAAGGAAUGAGUUUGCAGAAAGGAUGCUCUUCAGAACUCAUGAAGACAUAAGGUGCUUCAAAAGAGGAGACUUUCGGAACAUGAGCAGGGAAAUUGUCACUUGAUAGAUGACAAGCAUUGUGAGAAACAACAGUUUGCCUUUCUUCAUUCCCUUCCUGGUUAUCUUUCCUGUCACAUGAAGAAGAAAUGAAACACCAGAGAGAAUCAGGUUAUCAUCAUCUACACCAGCCACUGUCACUGGCCUUCAAAGUUCAACCUCCCUGGAACUCCAGAACUCCCCACUUUAUAAGAUGAAUGGCUAAUUGGAUCCUAGUACAUAAGGAAACACUGGCAAAAUAGCGCCCUACAACCAUACUGAGAAUUUAGCCCUGGGGACAUCUUCCGAUAUAAUCUGGCAUAGAAGAGUGGUUAUCACACCUUUAGCAUGGAUAGAAAUGCAAAACAAUAUUUGUAAUAGUCUGUGCUCACGCUGCUAUAAGGACAUACCCAAGACUAGGACCCUUGAGACACCUUUGCUGUGAAUAAUGGAGAAGCAAAAGGAGUUACUAAUGAAGACAAACUAAACCUGAGAACAGAGAGAGCCUAACUAUGUGCUCCAGAAGUGCCAUGUGUGUCUAAGGUAGGUCCAAAGGUAUGAGUCUAGAGAUAUUAUGUAUAAAACACCUAAUUGAAUGUCAAAAAAUCCAUAGAAGCUUAAUAAUUGGUAGCAAUUAUUAUUACUCAUUAGUGUGGGGGCUGGGAAGAUGACAACAGAGUAUAACUUGGAGGGUUGGUGUAGAGCAAUUAGCUAGCAACUGUAGUUUGAAUUUCCAUGAAGUAGUUCCCUUAAUUGUGUACACACAAACACAUCAAAACUGAAACCACAGCUAUGUGAUUUAAUAAUGUUGCACGUUUAGACAUGAUACAAGGCACUUUUGCCUACAUUAUCUUUCUGUGAGUUUAACAUUAGACCUGGUAUAAUUAUCCUAAAUUUACUACUAGAGAAUUUAGUUUGAAAAGUCAUGCAACUUUUCUAAAGAAUUUUUUCUGAUUUAAUAACACCAAUCAAUGAAUUAAUCAAUCAACUGUUCUGGCCAUUAAAUGUGUGAGAAAAAAAAGUCAGUGUAUUAAUUAUAAUUAUAUACCGAGACUUGGCUCUGUGUGUUUCACAAAAUAAGUAUAAAGUAUCAAAUUUGUUAUAAAUGUGUGACCCAUUAAAAGAAAAAAAAACUUGAUAGAUGUGUAUUUGGUAACAGCUUUUUAGAAAAUUUUUUGAACAUUUAUGAUGUUCAGAAAAGAACAGUGAUCAGUGUGCUAAAUUAAAUUACUUGAAUAAAUUAUGGAGAAAAAGUUCUGAUUUUUGUGCAAGGUUUGCAUUCUGGAUUGAGGUCCAGUUCUUUUUGAAGUAUCUGAAAUCAAACAUAUAUUUCCAAACCCUGAGGACUGAUUUCCUUCUGAAGACCACCCUCUCUUCUAUUUGAGGAACUCCAUAUUCCUUCUUGUAACACUACUCUGAUUCUAUAUCAAGCAAUCUUGGCCUUGUUAAGAUAAGAAAGUUGCCUUAAGCACUUUCCAAAGCUUUCCUACAUUCACUGUUGGUGGAUGGUGUCCCUACCCUACUUGUUCCCCUGCAGAACCUCAGAUUGGAGAUAUAAGGGGUGAAAUAACAGCCAAGUACCUCAGAGCUAAGUACUUUACAUAUAACUCAUUUAAUCCUCACAGCAUUGCUAUGGAACAAGUACUAUUAUUCAUCCCAGUUUACAGAUAGAAACUAAGGCAGAGAAAGGUUAAAUAAUCAAAGUUUACCUACUAGAUAACAGAGUGGGGGUAGAAACCAAGCCAUUCUGGCUUUUCCUGCUUGUAACACCAGGGUGGUAAAGGUGAAAAUUUGGGUUCAUUCUCACAGAGAAGAGGUUAUUAAGGCUCAGACUGGACAGAUAGCAUGGGAAUGAUGAGCAAGCAGGAAAUUUAAGAGUCAGAUCUUAGAAAAAUAUGACAAAGCCUAGAGACUGGCAACUGACAUGAUCUGAGAAAAGUGAGGAGGCCAGUGUUCCUUGUUUGGAAACAGGAGGAAUAAUGGGACCACUGGUUGAAAUGGAGUGCAAAUGUCUUAUAAGAAAAGGAAAAAAAUGACACCAACUUGACCCUCAAGUAUAUUUUGAGUAUAUUCUAUUUCUCUUUUCAUUAGAAGAAAUUUAAUUUGAGAAAUGAAUAGAGAAAGAAAGGGGAAAGGAGAAUGUUUCAAAGAAUAAGGUUAAAGUCAUCACAGCUUGACAGCAAUCUAAAAGUCAAAAAGUAUGCCAGAAUAGCAGGUAUUUGAGACCCACUGUUCGAAACAAUUUUAUUUUAAACACAUGUGGUUCCUUAAUGAUACUGGUAGCAUGGUGGUUGUGCAGCCCGCCUUUAGCAGGAAGUGCUGAUUUGCUUAAUUCUAUUAAGCCUAUAAGAAAGGUAAAUCUGUCUCCUGAACUUAAGGGGCCUCUGCUCUAAAGUAAGUUUGACAUUGGCCAAUAAUCACCCUGACAUUCUUGUGGCUUUGGCUGCUCUUGAAGCUGCUGAAUUGCACCAAGAGAAGAGGCUGAGUGAGAAAGCCUGGUUAUAGCAAUGGCCCAUCCUGUCAGUGCUGGGAGUGGGUACUAUACUCAAAGCAGUAUAAAUACAGAUGCUGCACAUUAUGCUCUGCUAUGCUGGCUGCCUUUGGGAUGAUUGUUGGGAAAGUUCUUGAAGCCAGUGGUGUUAGAGGGGACAGUGUGCUUCUUGAAACAAAAGAGUUGAUGGUGAGAAUGGUCUUUGAAAACUGUACUCUUUACAAAGGUGAACUCUGCAAACUGGGCCUACUGAAAGAAAUAGGGAUUCUAUUUUCAUUACUGUUUUAUCAUCAAAAUACCAUAAGGCCUGGCCCUUAGCAAAUAGUCCUUAAAUAUCUGAUACCAUUAGAAGCUUGCUUCUAUGAAGGGUGAUCACCCAUCCCAGUUUGCGUGGGACAGUCUUAGUUUACAUUAUUGUCCUUGCAUCCUGUUCAGCUGGUAUAUAUCCAAGUCUCUUAAUUUUUAUUCAAGUAUUAUUAUUAAUAGUUGUACAAAAAUAAGUCAGAAUAAGUUUGGUAGACCUCUACUUUAUUUCCAGCUUCUGUCAUUUUCUUCCUGGUAGUAGGUAUGAGACAUAUAUACAUGGAAAGAUAAUCAGCAGUAGCCUAUCUCUCUCCCUUUAAUUUUUUAAAGAACUUUCCAGAUUCAAGAAUGGACAAGGCACUCAGUUAUGAGCAACAAAUUCCUUUUGUCUUGGAGAUCAUGGAAGAAGUAUUAGAUGCUGCUCCCCUUAGUGUAACAGCCAGUUUUGUUGCAGCCUGUGGGGCCUGCAAGCUACACAAAACCACCAGGAUCCUAGAAGAGUCACUAGGAAACGUAGAGUAUUAUAGCUAGAUAAACAUCAUCACAUAUGUGUAAAAGAUAGAGACUGAACAGUCCAGUCUUAAAAUGUAUAGCAAAGUAGUUUGAAUGCUCUUGUUACAGUGAUUUUGUCAUCUACCAAUUUUAAGUGUGUAGUGAUUUAUCUAUCACAUUAUUUGGCAAUACUUUCUGAAUUUUGCAAUACAUGCAACAAUGACCUAAAAAAUGAAAGUGCAUGUUUAAUUUAAAAAUUAAAAGUAAAGCCAGGCGCAGUGGCUCACACCUGUAAUCCCAGCACUUUGGGAGGCUGAGGCGGGCGGAUUACCUGAGGUCGGGAGUUCAAGACCAGCCUGACCAACAUGGAGAAACCCUGUCUCUACUAAAAAUACAAAAUUGACUGGGCGUGGUGGUGCAUGCCUGUGGUCCCAGCUACUUGGGAGGCCGAAGCAGGAGAAUUGCUUGAACCUGGGAGGCGGAUGUUGCGGUGAGUGGAGAUCGCGCCAUUGCACUCCAGCCUGGGCAACAAGAGCAAAACUCUGUCUCAAAAAAAAAAAAAAAAA
rnacentral:lncRNA from 1 species